AACGAACGCUGGCGGCAGGCUUAACACAUGCAAGUCGAGCGAGACCUUCGGGUCUAGCGGCGGACGGGUGAGUAACGCGUGGGAACGUGCCCUUCUCUAUGGAAUAGCCCCGGGAAACUGGGAGUAAUACCGUAUACGCCCUUUGGGGGAAAGAUUUAUCGGAGAAGGAUCGGCCCGCGUUGGAUUAGGUAGUUGGUGGGGUAAUGGCCCACCAAGCCGACGAUCCAUAGCUGGUUUGAGAGGAUGAUCAGCCACACUGGGACUGAGACACGGCCCAGACUCCUACGGGAGGCAGCAGUGGGGAAUCUUAGACAAUGGGGGCAACCCUGAUCUAGCCAGGCCGGGUGAGUGAUGAAGGCCUUAGGGUUGUAAAGCUCUUUCAGCUGGGAAGAUAAUGACGGUACCAGCAGAAGAAGCCCCGGCUAACUCCGUG
rnacentral:rRNA from 1 species